AACGUACGCUGGCGGCACGCCUAACACAUGCAAGUCGAACGAAGUAGCAAUACUUAGUGGCAGACGGGUGAGUAACAUGUAGGUAUCUGCCCUUUGGCCUGGAAUAACACGAGGAAACUUGUGCUAAUACCGGAUAAGUCUUUACGGAGAAAGCUUUAUGCACCAUUGGAUGAGCCUGCACUUGAUUAGUUUGUUGGUGGGGUAAUGGCCUACCAAGACUGUGAUCAAUAGCUGAUUUGAGAGGAUGAUCAGCCACAUUGGGACUGAGACACGGCCCAAACUCCUACGGGAGGCAGCAGUGGGGAAUCUUGCACAAUGGAGGAAACUCUGAUGCAGCGAUGCCGCGUGAGUGAAGAAGGCCCUUGGGUUGUAAAGCUCUUUCGUCGGGGAAGAAAAUGACUGUACCCGAAUAAGAAGGUCCGGCUAACUUCGUGCCAGCAGCCGCGGUAAUACGAAGGGACCUAGCGUAGUUCGGAAUUACUGGGCUUAAAGAGUUCGUAGGUGGUUGAAAAAGUUAGUGGUGAAAUCCCAGAGCUUAACUCUGGAACUGCCAUUAAAACUUUUCAGCUAGAGUAUGAUAGAGGAAAGCAGAAUUUCUAGUGUAGAGGUGAAAUUCGUAGAUAUUAGAAAGAAUACCAAUUGCGAAGGCAGCUUUCUGGAUCAUUACUGACACUGAGGAACGAAAGCAUGGGUAGCGAAGAGGAUUAGAUACCCUCGUAGUCCAUGCCGUAAACGAUGUGUGUUAGACGUUGGAAAUUUAUUUUCAGUGUCGAAGGGAAACCGAUAAACACACCGCCUGGGGAGUACGACCGCAAGGUUAAAACUCAAAUGAAUUGACGGGGACCCGCACAAGUAGUGGAGCAUGUGGUUUAAUUCGAAGAUACGCGCAGAACCUUACCAACACUUGACAUGUUCGUCGCGACUCUAAGAGAUUAGAGUUUUCGGUUCGGCCGGACGAAACACAGGUGCUGCAUGGCUGUCGUCAGCUCGUGUCGUGAGAUGUUGGGUUAAGUCCCGCAACGAGCGCAACCCUCACUUUUAGUUGCCAUCAUUAAGUUGGGCACUCUGAAAGAACUGCCAGUGAUAAGCUGGAGGAAGGCGGGGAUGACGUCAAGUCCUCAUGGCCCUUACGUGUUGGGCUACACACGUGCUACAAUGGUAUCUACAACAGGAAGCAAGACUGCGAAGUUAAGCAAAUCCCUAAAAGAUACCUCAGUUCGGAUUGCACUCUGCAACUCGAGUGCAUGAAGCUGGAAUUACUAGUAAUCGUGGAUCAGCGUGCCACGGUGAAUGCGUUCCCGGGUCU
rnacentral:rRNA from 1 species